rfam:Populus trichocarpa isolate Nisqually-1 chromosome 7, whole genome shotgun sequence.
GUGUUCGUGGAAAGGAGAGAUGGAUGGCAGCUCCCCUGAUAGAGACAUGAACAGCUUCUGUGCUUCCCUGUUACUGUACAUCCGGUCUAGGCUACCAACCAACUAGGUAGAUCGCUAACCCAACUUUAUU